CCUCUACCGGAAGUGGCCGCGAAAUGCUACGCGAGGGGGCGCAAUAAUCUGCCGGUGGCGAUCCGAAUCAACAAAGGCGAUCGCAGUUAGAGGGGUAGUGGGGCUUCAUCGGAUCAGCUGUAACUAUGGAAGGAUCUGGAAAACCAUGUUCAUAUCCGCAAAAUUAUCGAAUACCAAAGAAAGGAUCAAACACACAGCCAGAUGAUGAGCAUAUUCAAUCUCCAUUGUCAAGAGUUGAAGUAAUUAACCAAUCGCUAAAUUCAUUUCAAGGGUGGGCAUCAGGAUCAAGGAAUAAAAGGAUUCAGUCAAACUGGAAGACGAAAAGCAUUGGUGAUGAAAGUGCAAGGUGUUCUUCAUUUCUGAUCUAAUAUCUACAAGAAUAAGUAAACUACGACCUUCCACUUUGUUAACAAUACAGUAUCUCUAAACAAUAAUUUCUUUGAAAUGGAGUUCAAUUCCCAGAACUCCCAAAAUGCUGGCUGGGGAAUUCUGGGACUUAAAGUCCACAUAGUUUAAAGUUGCCAUGGUUGCAAAAUACUGCUUUAAACUGGAAGCCUCCAGCAGCGAAUGAGAGAAAGUGAGAGGGGAAGAGAGAGCCUCAAAGAUGGGAAUAAAUCUUUUUUCCUUCUCUUAUCCUUUGGAAAAAUGAGCAAUUUGGUCUUGCAACUAUUACUAAUAGUAUGUACUGCAAAAUAAUAAAAAA
rnacentral:lncRNA from 1 species